GUCUUGUGCGGUAGAGCCCAUCUAUAGAACAAGCUACUCAAGAGGCUGAGGCAGGAGGAUCGCAUGAGCCUAGGAGCUCUGGGCUGUAGUACACUAUGCCAGUCAAGUGUCCACACUAAGUUUGGUCUCAGAAUGGUGGCCUCCUGUGAGCAGGAGACCACCAGGUUGCCUAAGGAGGGGUGAAUCAUCUCAGGUCAGAAACAAAACAGGUCAAAACUCCCACGCUGAUCAGUAAUAGGAUAGCACCCAUGAAUGGCCACUGCACUCCAGCUUGGGCAAUAGUGACACCCUCUCU
rnacentral:SRP_RNA from 1 species